CAGAGCUCUUUCCUGCCUCCUUGUGAAGAAGGAUGUUUUUGCUUCCUCUUCCACCAUGACUCCAGGAAUGAUGAAUGCUGAUACUCAUUGCUGAGUCUUUUUAGGAACAUGCGGACAUGAGCAGUAGUGGAAACCAGAGGAAGAGGGUGUGGCGUGUAGUAAUUUAAAAAGAAGCAAUGUGUGCUUGCAAGUCAAACCAAUAGAGUAAAAACGGUGGUUAUUUUUUAAUGUUUUCAAGCAUUGGAAUAUGCACACAUUUUCCCAAUAAAGUGUGCUAAAGUAUGCAUA